UUAGAGUAUAGAAACAAUUAAACAUUUAAACGGUUAACUUAAAGUCAGCUAGGGUUUCUUGUCAUUAACACACCGACAUUACACUUGCCUUCAAUCAGCUUUAGCUUCAGCUUCAGGAAGUAUUAUUUAUGGACAAAUAUUUUAUCAGUCUUUCUCAAUCAACACCGAAUAAGUCUCAAAUUUGCAAAUAAUCAUGAGAGUUUGUAAAGCUUCAUUUUAUUAUGAAGCCUUAUAAGCCCAUUGCUAUGAAGGAAUCAGUUUGGCCAUCUAUGUACAUGGUCAAGUCCAUCAAAAAUACUUCUGACACCUGCAACAAUAAAUUUUCAUGGGGAAGGAGUCAUAUAAUGAAACUUGCUUAAGUUUGAGGAACUUCUAUUGAGCAGCUGCUGGUAUAUCAUUUCAGAAUUUAUUUAGUUGUUUGAAGAGAAAGGUGCCAAUGACAGAACAGUUGCUAGAAGAGCCUCAGUUUUGUAUGCGCAAAUGGUACUUUAGUAGGGAAGAAAUUGAAGAUUUUUCACCAUCUAGAAAGGAUGGCAUCAGCCUCGAGAAAGAAUCGGAAUUACGAAAGCUGUAUUGCUCUUUUCUUCAAGAGCUUGGAAUGAAACUUAAAGUGCCUCAGGUGACAAUAGCAUGUGCUAUGAUGUUAUGCCACCGGUUCUUCAUGCGCCAGUCUCAUGCAAAGAAUGAUUGGCAGACAAUUGCAGCUGUCUCAACAUUCCUUGGUUGUAAAAUAGAAGAAACCCGAUGCAUUUUGGGGGAUGUGGUUGUCAUGUCUUACGAGAUAAUGUAUAAAUGGGACCCUUCCGCCUCACAGAGAAUUAGACAGAAUAGAGAAAUUUACAUGAAGCAAAAGGAAUUAGUCUUAAGAGGGGAGAGGCUUUUACUGGCAACAAUUGCUUAUGACUUUGAUAUUCAACUUCCCUACAAGCCACUUGUAACAGCUUUAAAGAGAUUGAAGCUUUUCCCUGACCUUGCAAAAGUAGCUUGGAAUUUUGUGAAUGAUUGGCUUUGUACAACUUUGUGCUUGCAGUACAAACCCCACUAUAUUGCGGCUGGUUCCAUGUUCCUUGCUGCCAAAUUUCAAAAAGUGAAACUUCCUGCACAGAAGGGAAAGUGCUGGUGGCUGGAGUUUGAUAUUUCACCCAAGCAAUUAGAAGAGGUCAUCCGGCAGAUGCUCAAGUUGUUAGAGCAGGACAGAAAACAGACACUACCACCGAGACAUGAAAGGUUCACUCAGUCUACAGCUUUAGCUGGAAAGAUGAACAUGAACAGUAGUCCACAAUCUUGCAUCUCAGAUGGUUCCAUUGCCAGAAGGCAAUCUAGCAACAUAGCCACGUUGGAGAAUGAUGGACUCAGCAAAUCUCUGGCCUGUGUUGGAAAGAACGUUUAUGUAAAAGAAGUUUUACCAUCUCAAACAAGUGAUAGUGCUUCAAGUAGCAUCAUUGAGGAUGGAGAAGGUGAUAGUCAUCCUAGAACAGUGGAAUCUGAUCAUGACCCUGGCUGCAAAAUUAUUUCUGUUCAUGACAGCUACACUAAGAUUGAUGCUAGUCGAAUUAGAGAGGCAUUGAAGAGGAGAAGACUUGAUGGAGCCGCAAAUAAAAAGUUUUCAGAAGCUAUUAACCCUGAGAUAGAUGGUGAAGCCUGGAUAGAGAGAGAACUGGAAAACGGAAUAGAGCUGGAAUCUGCCUCUUCAAAAAGGAAAAGGGGGGAAGUAUUGUGAAUUUCUAACACAUUGACCUCUGUCUGGAAAGUGUAAUUUUUUAUUGAAAUUUGGGACAGACAGACAGAAACAAACUCGUACAGUCGUACUUAUACUGGCACUUUAAUUCCGUGGCUUUCAGCGUGACUCCAGUACUAAAGUCUAAACUGCCACAUCGGACAUCUUUUACAAUAAAACCUCUCCGAAUUUGGGCAACUCUUUUCUAAGAUCUUUAGUAGUCCUAUUU